rnacentral:rRNA from 1 species
UACGAAGGGGGCUAGCGUUGCUCGGAAUACUGGGCGUAAAGCGUGCGCAGGCGGUGAUGUAAGACAGAUGUGAAAUCCCCGGGCUCAACCUGGGAACUGCAUUUGUGACUGCAUCGCUGGAGUGCGGCAGAGGGGGAUGGAAUUCCGCGUGUAGCAGUGAAAUGCGUAGAUAUCGGGAGGAACACCUGUGGUGUAGACGGCUUACUGGACCGCGACUGACGCUGAGGCACGAAAGCGUGGGUAGCAAACAGG